rnacentral:rRNA from 1 species
GACGAACGCUGGCGGCGUGCUUAACACAUGCAAGUCGAGCGGCAGCGCGGGAAAGCUUGCUUUCCUGGCGGCGAGUGGCGGACGGGUGAGUAAUACUUAGGAAUCUGCCCACUAGUGGGGGAUAGCCCGGGGAAACUCGGAUUAAUACCGCAUAAGCCCUACGGGGGGUAGGCUGGGGACCCGAGCACCAUAGCCUUUUGGGCAACCGAUCAAGGCGAGAAGAAGCUAUGGUGCUGGGCCNGGCGCUAGUGGAUGAGCCUGAGUCCUAUC